GAGUUUGAUCCUGGCUCAGGAUGAACGCUGGCGGCGUGCCUAACACAUGCAAGUCGAACGGGGGCAGCAAUGCUCCAGUGGCGCACGGGUGAGGAACACGUAGCUAACCUGCCUUCCAGACGGGGAUAACGUUUCGAAAGAGACGCUAAUACCGGAUACGCUGGUGCGCUGUAGAGGCGCAUCAGGAAAGGGGCGACCCGCUGGGAGAGGGGGCUGCGACCCAUCAGGUAGUUGGUGCGGUAACGGCGCACCAAGCCGACGACGGGUAGCGGGUCUGAGAGGACGACCCGCCACACUGGGACUGAGACACGGCCCAGACUCCUACGGGAGGCAGCAGUGAGGGAUAUUGCACAAUGGGGGAAACCCUGAUGCAGCGACGCCGCGUGGGUGAUGACGGCUUUCGGGUCGUAAAACCCUUUUGCCACUGACGAGCAGGGACGGUAGGUGGCGAAUAAGUCUCGGCUAACUACGUGCCAGCAGCCGCGGUAAAACGUAGGAGACGAGCGUUAUCCGGAGUUACUGGGCGUAAAGCGCGCGCAGGCGGUCGAACAAGUGCGGCGUGAAAGCUCCCGGCUAAACUGGGAGAGGACGCAGCAGACUGUUGGACUAGAGGGCGAUAGAGGGAUGCGGAAUUCGGGGUGUAGCGGUGAAAUGUGUAGAGAUCCCGAGGAACACCAGUGGUGAAAACGGCAUUCUGGGUCGCUGCUGACGCUGAGGCGCGAAAGCUUGGGGAGCGAACGGGAUUAGAGACCCCGGUAGUCCAAGCCGUAAACGAUGCUCGCUGGAUGUCCACCGCCCGCGAGGGCGGGGGGUGUCGAAGCUAACGCGAUAAGCGAGCCGCCUGGGGAGUACGGUCGCA
rnacentral:rRNA from 1 species